rnacentral:rRNA from 1 species
UGAUUUGCGGCGGACGGGUGAGUAAUGCCUAGGAAUCUGCCUGGUAGUGGGGGAUAACGUUCCGAAAGGAACGCUAAUACCGCAUACGUCCUACGGGGGAAAGCAGGGGACCUUCGGGCCUUGCGCUAUCAGAUGAGCCUAGGUCGGAUUAGCUAGUUGGUGAGGUAAUGGCUCACCAAGGCGACGAUCCGUAACUGGUCUGAGAGGAUGAUCAGUCACACUGGAACUGAGACACGGUCCAGACUCCUACGGGAGGCAGCAGUGGUCA